rnacentral:rRNA from 1 species
CUUAUUGAAAUUAUUCAUUUUAUUAAAUUUUAUAAUAUUUUAUUAUGUACUGUAAAGGAACUAAUAAAUUUUUUAAAGAAAUAUGUUAUUCCUUUAGUAUCAGGAAUUUUCAAUUCUAUUUUUUAUUAAAUUUUCCUGAAAGUAGAUCAUCUAUAAAUUUAUUAUUAUAUUGUAGCAAAAAUAUUACAAAUAAAUUUAUUGAAAUGACACUUUAUUCGAAUCUACUAAUAUCCGGUUUCUUUUAAUUUUUAAUAAACAAUUAUAUUUAAAAAGAUAAUUUUUUAAAUUAAUUUAGAACCUAUAAAUUUUUAAUCAGGAAUAAAAGUUUCCAUAAAGUUUCAUAACCAAUUUUUUAUUUCACUAAAAUUUUAAAAUAAAGAUAACCUUAAUUAACAAUUAAUAAUGAAAACAUUAGUAGAACUUAAUUAAAUAUAAUUAAUAAACUAAGCAAUAAAUUGAAUGACUGUUUACCAAAAACAUUUCUUAUAGAAAUAAUUAUAAGUAAUACCUGCUCAAUGAACAACUUUUAAUAGCCGCGGAAAUUUAACCAUGCUAAGGUAGCAUAAUCAUUAGCCUCUUAAUUAGAGACUCGUAUGAAUGGUAAAACAUUUCAAUUCCUAUAUAAUUUAUAAAAUUUUAAUUUAAAUUAAGAAUUAAAAUGUUCUUAUUUUAUAAUUAGACGACAAGACCCUAUUGAACUUUACUUUAGUUUAGCUGGGGCAGCUAAAAAAAAAUAAUCUUUUUAUUUAUAAUUAAAUAAGUGACCCAAUAUAAUUGAUUUUAUGAACAAGUUACCAUAGGGAUAACAGCGUAAUAUUUUUCUAAAGUUCUUAUUUAAAAAAAUGAUUGCGACCUCGAUGUUGAAUUAAUGUAACCAUAUAGAUGCAGUAAUUUUAUAGGUAGGUCUGUUCGACCUUUAAAUCAUUACAUGAUUUGAGUUCAAAUCGGUGUAAACCAGAUUGGUUUCUAUCUUUUAAUUUAUUUUUAUUUAGUACGAAAGGACCAAUAAACUUAUUAUCAAU